ACAAAAGAUCUUCUUUGGGUCCUUCUCAGGACUGGAGCUGCAAUGGGACAGUCACUGAAGCUGCUGUAGGGUCUGUCAAACUAAAUAACACAGAAAGGAGGGCCCCUAAAGACUGGUUAUGGGACUGAGGAGAUGGCUCAGGGUAAACGUGCUUGCAAUACAGGUGUGAGGAGCAGAGUUUGGAUCUCCAGCACCCGUGUAAAUGGCCAGGUGGAUUUGGCAGCCCACCUGUAAUCCCAGCACACAAGAGACAGAGACAGGAAAUCCCACAAGCAAGCUAACUAGCUAGACUAACCAAAUUGGCAGCUCCGGGUUCAAUGGAGAGACCCUGUCUCAAUAUAUAGGGUGAAAAGCAGCCGAGAAAAAUAUCUGAUGUUAAUCUGUCAUCUCCACACACACACACAUGCUCAAGCACCGCCCACACACAUGCACAUGUGAAUACGCAUGCAUACACAUGAAUAUGACACACAUACACACACACGCGCACACGCACACACACACAAAAAUGUAAUUAUUUUUAUUUGGGAACAAAGCCUUGCGGUGGGACUGUGUGCAUCUUAGUAAAUAAUGAACACAUUCAAGGAGGCUGAAACAAGAAGCUCUUAAAAACAAAAUGAGAAUUACAUAAGGCAUUUGAAAUGAAGCCUUAGCUGAAGGGUUAAUAGUAUAACAGAGAUGGCAUCAGCCCAAGGUUAAAUACAUAGAGGUGGGCAGCAGUUCUUGCAGAUGUAGGCUUUGUGUAACGUUGCACGGCUUUUGUGUAAGAUUAUAGUUCUGGCGGUCUCUUGGAAUGGUGUUUGUUAUCAGGCGCACAAGCACCAGCUCUGCCUCCCCUUCACAGCUUCCAGCUUUGUGUUUUAUUUAUUAUCUUGGUUAAGGCUUGACAAAAAUGACUCCAUUUUGAUUUCGAUCAAUUUCACAGUUCAAGGAUCUCACAAGAAGCUCCCUUCUCAAUAUAGACCCAGCUGUGUUCUAGACACAGCCCUUAUGGUUAUCCCCGAGACCUUCUUCUUGUCAAGGAAGCCCACAAAUAGCAUCCCAGAUAAAGAGGCUCUGCCACUGGCCCUCACUUCCUGCCAUCAUCCUGGGUGCAAGCCACAUUUCUUGAGGACCAUCCCCGCUGGGGACACCCUGGAGCUUCCAUCUUCUGGCCUCUAGCCUUUGGGACCAAGCAGUUCAGAGGACUGUAGACAGCAGGCAAGUACCUUCCACUUUGUCCGUGGAAUGAGUCCCAUUGAAACUCCUGUGCAUACUUGUGUCAUGACCCCAGCCUACAGAACACCUUACCCCUGAACUCCCUGUGUUUUGGCUAAUAGCUCCUCCUUCCCCUGUUCUACCAGGCUCUGGCCUGCUGUGAUUUCACAGAUUCUGCUUUUGUGUGAAGACCCCAAAUCCAUCUCCAAUAAGUUUCUGGAGGGACAGAGAGGUGGACAUUUAUCCCAGGCUUCAAAGACCGACAGUCUUUUGACUACGAGGAGAGACCACAUGCAAUAUAAGCAGGUUAUACACGUAAGUCUACCAGGCAGGCUAUAAAGCAGUAUGGAGAGUGAACCCCCCAGAUGGCACUAAACUCUCUGCUGUUGGAUUUCUUGGUGGCAUCUCAUUAUCAGCUAUGGCCAACAGUACUAGUAAACGCUUCCUUUAUUCUGAGAAAUCUUACAAAAGACCAUUUAGGGAAUCGUUACAAGAGCUUUACAGAAAUGAAAUUUACUAUUAAGGCCAUAUUACUAAUCACUGACUAAUGUGUUCAUGUUUAUUUUUAUCAUUUUGUUUCAUAUAAAAGUGCCUCAGCAGUGUUAGAAUACCAGACUAUAGCUUACCAAUAAAAUCGGAGAAUCUGGAAGUGGAUUCAGGAAACCAGCAGUUUUUAAAGUUCCUCCCAGUGGUGCCGAUGUGCAGCCAACUUUAGAACUACUGCAGCGCUUCUUGGAUAUUAAUAAGAGUCUGAAUCCUGCAGGCCCUGUUUAAAUGCAAGUGUUCAUUCAUGGGUCGGGAGCCAGGCCUGAGAUUCUGGGUUUCUAACCAGCUCCCAGGUGAUACAAUGCUGUGAUCACAGUUGAAAUAGGGAGAUGCUGGAUUGUGACAGUCCUCCACUUCUUUACCUUCAACCUAGUUAUUCUUUCUCAGUUGGCUAGAAGAAUAAUUAUAUGGUAUUGAUUUGAUUUCAUUUGUGUUAUUUGUGUCAUUGGCAAGAAUAAACAUGCUUUCCUUAGUAUUU